ACCAACUGGAGCAAGGAAGACCCGGAUUCUAGCAUAAGCUUGCCACCUCUCCCUUCCUGUUCUCCAGGCACAUCACUUCUUUAAAUGUUAUGAACACACACAGAUGAGUCAACUCUGCAGAAAAACAGAACUCAAGGUCUUCGUCCUCUGCAAUUCAUUUGGAGGUUUAGUUCUGGAAGGCCUGACUGGCAUUACCAGCAAACUGUCCCACACAUUCCAGUGGUUCUGCAAACAGCCUCUCUCUCAAAGCAAACAAGGUGGGACAUCAGGUAAACAGUAAAGAAUGGAAAUGUCACUCAUUUCCCCAUCUGUAUCCUUUCUAGUUGACAAGAGCAUCAGUCAAUGCAAAGUUUGUUGAGACUGGUAAGUUUGAGGAUUUAUUUGGAAGGCUGUGUUAAUAAGAUAUUUUUGAAAAGUUCA